UAGUCGUCCCCCUCCUGCUCCUAGCCUUAGCAUGCCAAUAGGGACCAUUCUUGUAGGCGUUGGGUUCGUAACAAGGAGCUCUUCCAAUACUCUGAAGCUUCCAACCCCCUGAUAGCAGACGCUUUGGCAAUGCUGGAAGAUGAUGGUAAGCUAAGGUCUGAGAGAUGUUGAAGGAGAGAAGACGGGCCGAAACAAGCUUUGUGCAGCAUUCUGGACUCAACAAAGUGAGACAUUUGGCUGCUUGAUUGCUUGUGCUUAUAUGUAAGCAUGAUGUCUUCAAAGGAAGUGAUUACAAGAGAUUGUUUCCUCGACAAUUUAAGGAUGGGAAACAAAAAAUGGAGGCAGCCAAAGUCAU